ACCAGGCCGAGGAGUGGUCGAGGA
rnacentral:siRNA from 1 species